GCAGUUGUGGCCGAGUGGUUAAGGCGAUGGACUUGAAAUCCAUUGGGGUCUCCCCGCACAGCUCCGAAUCCUGUCGACUGCG
rnacentral:tRNA from 1 species